rnacentral:rRNA from 1 species
GAUGAACGCUGGCGGCGUGCCUAAUACAUGCAAGUCGAGCGAACGGACGAGAAGCUUGCUUCUCUGAUGUUAGCGGCGGACGGGUGAGUAACACGUGGAUAACCUACCUAUAAGACUGGGAUAACUUCGGGAAACCGUAGCUAAUACCGGAUAAUAUUUUGAACCGCUUGGUUCAAAAGUGAAAGACGGUCUUGCUGUCACUUAUAGAUGGAUCCGCGCUGCAUUAGCUAGUUGGUAAGGUAACGGCUUACCAAGGCAACGAUGCAUAGCCGACCUGAGAGGGUGAUCGGCCACACUGGAACUGAGACACGGUCCAGACUCCUACGGGAGGCAGCAGUAGGGAAUCUUCCGCAAUAGGCGAAAGCCUGACGGAGCAACGCCGCGUGAGUGAUGAAGGUCUUCGGAUCGUAAAACUCUGUUAUUAGGGAAGAACAUAUGUGUAAGUAACUGUGCACAUCUUGACGGUACCUAAUCAGAAAGCCACGGCUAGCUACGUGC